GGGUGCACCCCGUCCAGGGUUGCGCGGUAGGAGAAGCGUUCUAAGGGCGUUGAAGGUCGAUCGUGAGGACGGACUGGAGCGCUUAGAAGUGAGAAUGCCGGCAUGAGUAGCGAAAGAUCAGUGAGAAUCUGAUCCACCGUAUGACUAAGGUUUCCUGGGGAAGGCUCGUCCUCCCAGGGUUAGUCGGGAUCUAAGGCGAGGCCGCAAGGCGUAGUCGAUGACAAGCAGGUUGAGAUUCCUGCACUAGUUUAUUUUGUUUAAGCGAUGGAGGGACGCAGGAGGCUAAGGAAAGCGCACGGCUGGAAAAGUGCGUCCAAGCAGUAAGUCCGGUAGCGAGUGAAAUGCUUGCCGCCUUAAGGACAAGCUGUGAUGGGGAGCGAAACUAAAGUAGCGAAGUUCCUGAUGUCACACUGCCAAGAAAAGCUUCUAGUGAGAAAUAAACUACCCGUACCGCAAACCGACACAGGUAGUCGAGGAGAGUAUCCUCAGGUGAGCGAGCGAACUCUCGUUAAGGAACUCGGCAAAAUGACCCCGUAACUUCGGAAGAAGGGGUGCUGACCGCAAGGUCAGCCGCAGUGAAUAGGCCCAAACAACUGUUUAUCAAAAACACAGGUCUCUGCUAAAUCGUAAGAUGAUGUAUAGGGGCUGACGCCUGCCCGGUGCUGGAAGGUUAAGAGGAUGAGUUAGCGCAAGCGAAGCCCAGAAUUGAAGCCCCAGUAAACGGCGGCCGUAACUAUAACGGUCCUAAGGUAGCGAAAUUCCUUGUCGGGUAAGUUCCGACCCGCACGAAAGGCGUAAUGAUUUGGGCACUGUCUCAACGAGAGACUCGGUGAAAUUAUAGUACCCGUGAAGAUGCGGGUUACCCGCGACAGGACGGAAAGACCCCAUGGAGCUUUACUGUAGCUUGAUAUUGAGUGUUGGUACCGCUUGUACAGGAUAGGUAGGAGCCGUAGAGAUCGGAACGCUAGUUUCGAUGGAGGCAUUGGUGGGAUACUACCCUAGCUGUAUGAACACUCUAACCCGCGCCACUGAUCGUGGCGGGAGACAGUGUCAGGUAGGCAGUUUGACUGGGGCGGUCGCCUCCUAAAAUGUAACGGAGGCGCCCAAAGGUUCCCUCAGAAUGGUUGGAAAUCAUUCGCAGAGUGUAAAGGUAGAAGGGAGCUUGACUGCGAGACUGACAAGUCGAGCAGGGACGAAAGUCGGGCUUAGUGAUCCGGUGGUUCCGUAUGGAAGGGCCAUCGCUCAACGGAUAAAAGCUACCCUGGGGAUAACAGGCUUAUCUCCCCCAAGAGUCCACAUCGACGGGGAGGUUUGGCACCUCGAUGUCGGCUCAUCGCAUCCUGGGGCUGUAGUCGGUCCCAAGGGUUGGGCUGUUCGCCCAUUAAAGCGGUACGCGAGCUGGGUUCAGAACGUCGUGAGACAGUUCGGUCCCUAUCCGUCGCGGGCGCAGGAAAUUUGAGAGGAGCUGUCCUUAGUACGAGAGGACCGGGAUGGACGUUCCGCUGGUGUACCAGUUGUGCCGCCAGGCGCAUCGCUGGGUAGCUAUGAACGGAAGGGAUAAACGCUGAAAGCAUCUAAGUGUGAAGCCCCCCUCGAGAUGAGAUUUCCCAUUCCUAUAUGGAAGUAAGACCCCUGAAAGAUGAUCAGGUAGAUAGGCUGGAAGUGGAAGUGCAGCGAUGCAUGGAGCGGACCAGUACUAAUCGGUCGAGGACUUAACCAAG
rnacentral:rRNA from 2 species